rnacentral:rRNA from 1 species
ACUUAAAUUGAAGAGUUUGAUCAUGGCUCAGAUUGAACGCUGGCGGCAGGCCUAACACAUGCAAGUCGAGCGGUAGCACAGAGAGCUUGCUCUCGGGUGACGAGCGGCGGACGGGUGAGUAAUGUCUGGGAAACUGCCUGAUGGAGGGGGAUAACUACUGGAAACGGUAGCUAAUACCGCAUAAUGUCGCAAGACCAAAGUGGGGGACCUU